UAGGGAAUCUUCGGCAAUGGACGAAAGUCUGACCGAGCAACGCCGCGUGAGUGAAGAAGGUUUUCGGAUCGUAAAACUCUGUUGUUAGAGAAGAACAAGGACGUUAGUAACUGAACGUCCCCUGACGGUAUCUAACCAGAAAGCCACGGCUAACUACGUGCCAGCAGCCGCGGUAAUACGUAGGUGGCAAGCGUUGUCCGGAUUUAUUGGGCGUAAAGCGAGCGCAGGCGGUUUCUUAAGUCUGAUGUGAAAGCCCCCGGCUCAACCGGGGAGGGUCAUUGGAAACUGGGAGGCUUGAGUGCAGAAGAGGAGAGUGGAAUUCCAUGUGUAGCGGUGAAAUGCGUAGAUAUAUGGAAGAACACCAGUGGCGAAGGCGGCUCUCUGGUCUGUAACUGACGAUGAGGCUCGAAAGCGUGGGGAGCAAACAGG
rnacentral:rRNA from 1 species